rnacentral:rRNA from 1 species
UGGGGAAUGAUUGCACAAUGGGCGAAAGCCUGAUGCAGCAACGCCGCGUGAGUGAUGAAGGCCUUCGGGUUGUAAAGCUCUGUCUUUUGGGACGAUAAUGACGGUACCAAAGGAGGAAGCCACGGCUAACUACGUGCCAGCAGCCGCGGUAAUACGUAGGUGGCAAGCGUUGUCCGGAUUUACUGGGCGUAAAGGAUGCGUAGGCGGAUUUUUAAGUGAGAUGUGAAAACCCUAAGCUUAACUUGGGGACUGCAUUUCAUACUGGAAAUCUAGAGUGCGGGAGAGGAGAAUGGAAUUCCUAGUGUAGCGGUGAAAUGCGUAGAGAUUAGGAAGAACACCAGUGGCGAAGGCGAUUCUCUGGACCGUAACUGACGCUGAGGCAUGAAAGCGUGGGUAGCAAACAGGAUUAGAUACCCUGGUAGUCCACGCCGUAAACGAUGAGUACUAGGUGUAGGAGGUAUCGACCCCUUCUGUGCCGCAGUUAACACAAUAAGUACUCCGCCUGGGAAGUACGAUCGCAAGAUUAAAACUCAAAGGAAUUGAC